CAUUGAUCUGUUUUUUUAAAUAAGGGUGGUCAUAUAAAGCACAGGUUCAACCCUUGAAUUCACUUACCUCUAACUGUGCUGCAGGCAUUUUAGCAGUGCAGUCUGUGAGCAAUGGCAAAGAGAUCAACAGCACACGUGUUUCUCGUGUCUCUGUGUACCAUGACAAGGACCAAAGUGGUGAGACAAGCUGACCAGUGGUGAUUUCACACCAAUGUGUGUUUCUCUGGUGCACGUUUACGGUGGCUAGUAGUGACGCGCCUGACUCACUGACUCACACCCGCGGGUGGGUGCGGGCUCGUGUUAAAAAUAAUAGAUUUGAGCUCGACUCGGGCGGGUGUGGAUCAAAACAAGCCGACCCACGCAUCACUAGUGGCUAGCAUCAAAUUGUGAGACAGAAAGUAUGACAGUGUGGCGCAAAAACGAAAAGCACAUCGAGCAGCGUGAGGUGGAUCUACUUAAAAAGAUCCCCAAACUGGUUAUUUUCAGGUCUGCUGGAUCGUCAUCCAGUCAGCCGGAGCCGGACCCGACCCCGAGUUCACGGCUGCCUAAGCAGUACGUAUCAAGACUGAAUCACCUGGCCCUGGUGUCCAUAGAGAGGUUAGAAAACCUUCUAAAGUUUUCAAUUGCACGCAGAAUCCCAAGAUCACUCCAGAACAUUUUCACAUGGGAAAUCCACAAUCUGGGAGAAAGCCCCUGGAUGUUUUUCUUCUCUCGCAAGUAAGUUUUGAAAAAGCCUGGAAGCUACCCCGUGUUUGUGUUGGCAGGACCGCGUGCUCGUGUGCAAAGAAGGAACACUAAUACUGAUAGUGCCAGUGGGAGGAGAUUUUACUCAAGCCACUGACCUCUCACUCUUAAAACCUGCUUUUUAAUGCGGGGCCCAAGCCGUAGAACAAACAUCGAAGAGGAAGGAGAGAAAACAAAGACCAGAAAGAAUGAGAGAGAGAGAAUAAAGGAAUAAAACAGAUAACCUCCUUCUAAUAAUGUUAGUAAAUCACUGGCGUCAUGCUUGGUUGUGAUGAAUAAUGCAGGAAUCCGAUUACUGCCCCCUCCCAACCCCCCUACUAACCCUAACCCAAGCCUCAUAAAUGCUGGUUUUUAAUCUGGAAGGGGCUGUAUCAUUUACCCAGAGGACAGCUGCAGCUGGAAAAGACAACCAUGAAAAUCCUGAAGAAAGCUUAAUCAUCAGUGCUGGAGAGCGGACCAAGGCCGUCUGUGAAAAAGCCCAAAUGGGAUUUCUCCGGCAGCCAAUCAGACAGGCCCAAAAAAUUCAACCAUUGUUGUGGCUAAUGUGUAAGGGUACUUUUCUUCUUUCAUCCCCAUUGUAGCUGGCUUAUUUGGGCAAUGAGUGCUACCCUAAGGGCUUUCUAGAUAAGAAAAAAAACAUCAUCCGAGGUCAGAUCUUUUUCUACUUGUGGCACAGGUUUGAUUGGCCUGGAGCAAGGCCAGCACGAUGCGU
rnacentral:lncRNA from 1 species